rnacentral:rRNA from 1 species
UGAAACUCAAAGGAAUGACGGGGACCCGCACAAGCGGUGGAUGAUGUGGAUUAAUUCGAUGCAACGCGAAGAACCUUACCUGGUCUUGACAUGUCAGGAAUCCUGCAGAGAUGCGGGAGUGCCUUCGGGAACCUGAACACAGGUGCUGCAUGGCUGUCGUCAGCUCGUGUCGUGAGAUGUUGGGUUAAGUCCCGCAACGAGCGCAACCCUUGUCACUAGUUGCUACGAAAGGGCACUCUAGUGAGACUGCCGGUGACAAACCGGAGGAAGGUGGGGAUGACGUCAAGUCCUCAUGGCCCUUAUGACCAGGGCCUCACACGUCAUACAAUGGUCGGUACAGAGGGUAGCCAACCCGCGAGGGGGAGCCAAUCCCAGAAAGCCGAUCGUAGUCCGGAUUGCAGUCUGCAACUCGACUGCAUGAAGUCGGAAUCGCUAGUAAUCGCAGGUCAGCAUACUGCGGUGAAUACGUUCCCGGGUCUUGUACACACCGCCCGUCACACCAUGG